UGAGUGCGAGCGGCUACGGCCGCGAAGUGGGUGAUGUCAAGCUUCCAAGAAAAGCCCUAUACCCGUUAAGGCAUGAUGGCCUGUACCCGAAGCCGACACAGGUGGGGUGGUAGAGAAUACCGAGGGGCGCGAGGUAACUCUCUCUAAGGAACUCGGCAAAAUGGCCCCGUAACUUCGGGAGAAGGGGUGCCACCGCAAGGUGGUCGCAGUGGAGAGGCCCAGGCGACUGUUUACCAAAAACACAGGUCUCCGCUAAGUCGCAAGACGAUGUAUGGGGGCUGACGCCUGCCCAGUGCCGGAAGGUUAAGGAAGCUGGUCAGCGCAAGUGAAGCUGGCGACUGAAGCCCCGGUGAACGGCGGCCGUAACAAUAACGGUCCUAAGGUAGCGAAAUUCCUUGUCGGGUAAGUUCCGACCCGCAUGAAAGGCGUAACGAUCUGGGCGCUGUCUCGGAGAGAGGCUCGGCGAAAUAGAAUUGUCUGUGAAGAUGCGGACUACGUGCACCCGGACAGAAAGACCCUAUGAAGCUUUACUGUAGCUUGGUAUUGUGCCCGGGCUCUGAAUGCGCAGGAUAGGUGGGAGGCUUUGAUCCAUGGCUUGCGGGUCAUGGUGAGCCAACGGUGAGAUACCACUCUUUCAGAGCUAGGGUUCUAACGGUCACCCGUCAUCCGGGGACCGGACAGUAUCAGGUGGGCAGUUUGACUGGGGCGGUCGCCUCUUAAAAGGUAACGGAGGCGCGCAAAGGUUUGCUCAGGCUGGUUGGAAAUCAGCCGACGAGUGCAAAAGCAGAAGCAAGCUUGACUGUGAGACCUACAAGUCGAACAGGGACGAAAGUCGGCUUUAGUGAUCCGACGGUUCUGAGUGGAAGGGCCGUCGCUCAACGGAUAAAAGUUACUCUAGGAUAACAGGCUGAUCUCCCCCAAGAGUUCACAUCGACGGGGGGGUUUGGCACCUUGAUGUCGGCUCAUCGCAACCUGGGGCUGAAGUCGGUCCCAAGGGUUGGGCUGUUCGCCCAUUAAAGCGGUACGCGAGCUGGGUUCAGAACGUCGUGAGACAGUUCGGUCCAUAUCCGGUGCACGCGCAGGAACAUUGAGAGGAUUUCUCCCUAGUACGAGAGGACCGGGAGGAACGCACCUCUGGUGUGCCAGUUAUCGUGCCAACGGUAAACGCUGGGUAGCCAUGUGCGGAGUGGAUAACCGCUGAAAGCAUCUAAGUGGGAAGCCCACCUCAAGAUGAGUGUUCCCAUGGCAUAAGCCAGUAAGGUCGCGGGAAGAACACCCGUUGAUAGGCUCUACGUGGAAGCCGGGUAACCGGUGAAGCGGAGGAGUACUAAUAGACCGAGGGCUUGAUCAG
rnacentral:rRNA from 1 species